rnacentral:rRNA from 1 species
UACGUAGGGUGCGAGCGUUGUCCGGAAUUAUUGGGCGUAAAGAGCUUGUAGGCGGUUUGUCGCGUCUGCCGUGAAAAUCCGAGGCUCAACCUCGGACUUGCGGUGGGUACGGGCAGACUAGAGUGUGGUAGGGGAGACUGGAAUCCUGGUGUAGCGGUGAAAUGCGCAGAUAUCAGGAGGAACACCGAUGGCGAAGGCAGGUCUCUGGGCCACUACUGACGCUGAGAAGCGAAAGCGUGGGGAGCGAACAGG